CAGGAACAAGGUUCAAGGAACUCCAGAGCUGCAAUGUGGUCAGACAACAUUUAUGGACCUAUAACGGUGGUGACAUACAGAGUAAAGGACCAGGAGGGAACAGCAAAAUUCUCUUCUGGAAGCUGGUCCAGAAGUUCUGAAAUGUAUCCUGUUUGGCCCAUCUAAAAUCAUGUGUCCAUAACUGAAUGAAAUCCCAGUGACCAGAGGAAUUCCAAGGCUCAGUUCACCCUGAAAGUCAAUCCUGGCACUCCUUCCUAAACAACGUGGAGGCUGCAGCUUUUAGCUGGACACCAUCACUCUAGCCCGCAUUUUAUUGGAUGACACAAGUCAUGUGGCUAAACCAAACAUCCCUAGGAUGAGGAAAGAAUGCUCUCACAACCUUCAUGAGAGCAAUCAACACAUAAGACUCCAGUUAUCAAAUAUGUGGGUAUUUCUUCCCACCAACAAGCAAGCUAUCGUUUCUACAGUGGACACCGGCUGAAUGUCGUCUAAUUCAAUGCCAAGGCUAUCUACCCAGAGGUGGCAUCCGAUCCCACAGGUUGAGGGCUGAGUCUCUAAAACUGCCCCCUACUCCAGAUAUCAAUGGCAAACUCAAGUAUCUUAUUGUGCUGUACUCACCCUUCUUGUGAUCAUGUGGCUACAUGAUAAGAUCAAGUGAGGUGAAUGACAUAGGCAUUGUGACCUCGUAUCGACCUUCAACACCAGCGCUGUGGACAUUGAGACAUUAUUUGGAUUCACGGACAAAGGGAUGAUUCAUGUCCCAGGUGGGAAGGAGCAGGACAGCAUGAAAUUUCAUCACACUCCUUGGAAUGGUGUGCAAUUUAAAAUUCAUGAAUU